rnacentral:rRNA from 1 species
GUCGAGAAUCUUUCACAAUGGGGGCAACCCUGAUGGAGCGACGCCGCGUGGAGGAUAAGGUCUUCGGAUUGUAAACUCCUGUCAUGCGUGAACAAGGUUGCUUGGUUAAUACCUGGGCAAAUUGAUGGUAACGCAAGAGGAAGAGACGGCUAACUCUGUGCCAGCAGCCGCGGUAAUACAGAGGUCUCAAGCGUUGUUCGGAAUCACUGGGCGUAAAGGGUGCGUAGGUGGCGUGGUAAGUCAGAUGUGAAAGCCCGGGGCUCAACCUCGGAACUGCAUCCGAUACUGCAAUGCUAGAGUACUGGAGGGGUGACUAGAAUUCUCGGUGUAGCAGUGAAAUGCGUAGAUAUCGAGAGGAAUACCAAAGGCGUAGGCAGGUCACUGGACAGUUACUGACACUGAGGCACGAAGGCCAGGGGAGCGAACGGGAUUAGAAACCCCUGUAGUCC